GUUCUGUCCCAAGAUGUUGCAUAGAUCAUCUUUAGACCACUGAAAUUAUUUUCAGACAGUUUCAGACUGUUGACCAGAACUGUGGAAAGUAAAACCAGGGAUAAAGGAGGACUACUAUAUUCACUUUUAAAUAGUUGGAUGAAUAGGUUAGAACUGUUUUUUACUGUAACAGAAUAUCCAAUCAAUUGAUUUAAAAACAUUAUUGAAUAAAAAAUAUAAAAACUCCCAGGAAUAAUAUUUGAUUUUUUAAAGCAGAGCUUGGCCCAGGAGGUCAAAUGAUUAUCUUCUUUCCCUCUGUUGGUUUCAUUAUACUCCAGUCAGCUCUAGUCUCACAUCAUUAUGAAUACCAGCAGCUACGCUGGAGGACAAAACUUGCCUGUCUCUGGGUGACCCUGGUAAAAAGUUAUCUCAUUACAUUUCAUUAGGUCUGAGUGAGGCCCAUGCAGAACCUUGAUUUAAUCACAGUGGCCAGGGAGAUGUGAAACUAUCCCUCCACUCCAACUCUUUCCUCUUUCAAGCAAACUCCUGAAGCUGAGAAGAAUGGGUGCAUCAAGACACAUGGAAUGAGAAUGGUGUUGAGGCAUUUCCCUAAAGAAUAACAGUACUAUUACCAAAAAGGUGGAGGGGAGGUGAUGAAUAACAAAAAUCACAGCUCAUUAGAAAGUCUUCCAAACAUGACUGUAGUCUUUGGUGAUAGAUUCAUAUAUAAGACAAACAUUUAAUAUUCUGUCUGAGAGUUCCUUACAUUUAAAAUAUUUGGAUUAAAUUGAAGAUAUUCUGUUGGGCAGCAAUAAAACUAUUCACUAAUCUACUACGUGAUAGAAAUGCACACAAAAUUUAAACUUAUGGUAGAAUAUAUGAGAAUAUAUGGACUUUGAAUGAAAGAACUGUGGACUUUGAAUCAGGAGAUCUUGAUUUAUUUUCUCUGUUCUAAUGCCUGUUUAACUCAUCUAGACCUGAAUUUCUUUUCUUCCUAGAUAUCUGAUGAUUUAUUCCUUACCCACAGUUAUUAGUCAGGGUUCUUUAAAGGGACAGAGCCAAUAGGAUAGAUGUAUAUGUAAAGGGGAGUUUGUUAAGGAGUAUUUACUCACACAAUCACAUGGUGAGAUCCCACAAUAGGCUCUCUGCAAGCUGAGGAGCAAGGAAGCCAGUCCGAGUCCCAAAACCUCAAAAGCAGGGAAGCCGACAGUGCAGCCUUCAGUCUGUGGUCGAAGGUCCAAGAGUCCCAAAGCUGAAAAACUUGGAGUCUGAUGUUCAAGGGCAGGAAGCAUUAAGCACAGUAGAAAGAUGUAGGCCCAGAGACUAAGCCAGUCUAGUCUUCUCACAUUCUUCUGCCUGCUUUUAUUAUGGCCACACGGGCAGCUGAUUAGAUUGUACCCACUCAGCUUGAGGGUGGGUUUGCCUCUCCCAGUCCAAUGACUCAAAUGUUACUCUUCUUUGGCAACACCUUCACAGACAUACCCAGGAACAAUACUUUGCAUCCUUCAAUCCAAUCAAGUUGCCACUCAAUAUUAACCAUCAUACAUAGUUUCACUUUUCACUGCUUUGACCCUUUGUUUAUGCUGUUAGAAUUCUGAUAAACAUUACAUUAUAGCUUCAAUUCAGAAAGAAUGUAAAUAUAUCAUUAGGUUAUAUGACCCAAGAGCUCUAUAUUUCUCUUCACUUGUUCCAAUCCCUCUUCCACAUCUAGUAAUAAGAAUGUUUAGUUUUCUUCAUGCAA
rnacentral:lncRNA from 10 species